GCUGGGUGCGGUGGCGCAUGCCUGUAAUCCCCGCAGCUCUGGAGGCUGAGGCAGGAGGAUCGUGAGUUCAAAACAAGCCUCAGCAACUUAGUGAGGCCCUAAGACCCUGACUCUA
rnacentral:sRNA from 1 species